GUAACGGCGAGUGAAGCGGCAACAGCUCAAAUUUGAAAUCUGGCUCUCGGGCCCGAGUUGUAAUUUGUAGAGGAUGCUUUUGGUGAGGUGCCUUCCGAGUUCCCUGGAACGGGACGCCAUAGAGGGUGAGAGCCCCGUCUGGUUGGACACCGAUCCUCUGUAAAGCUCCUUCGACGAGUCGAGUAGUUUGGGAAUGCUGCUCUAAAUGGGAGGUAUAUGUCUUCUAAAGCUAAAUACCGGCCAGAGACCGAUAGCGCACAAGUAGAGUGAUCGAAAGAUGAAAAGAACUUUGAAAAGAGAGUUAAAAAGUACGUGAAAUUGUUGAAAGGGAAGCGCUUGUGACCAGACUUGGGCUUGGUUGAUCAUCCGGGGUUCUCCCCGGUGCACUCUUCCGGCUCAGGCCAGCAUCAGUUCGCCCUGGGGGAUAAAGGCUUCGGGAAUGUGGCUCUCUCCGGGGAGUGUUAUAGCCCGCUGCGUAAUACCCUGUGGCGGACUGAGGUUCGCGCAUUCGCAAGGAUGCUGGCGUAAUGGUCAUCAGUGACCCGUCUUGAAACACGGACCAAGGAGUCGUCUUCGUAUGCGAGUGUUCGGGUGUCAAACCCCUACGCGAAAUGAAAGUGAACGCAGGUGAGAGCUUCGGCGCAUCAUCGACCGAUCCUGAUGUUAUCGGAUGGAUUUGAGUAAGAGCAUACGGGGCCGGACCCGAAAGAAGGUGAACUAUGCCUGUGUAGGGUGAAGCCAGAGGAAACUCUGGUGGAGGCUCGCAGCGGUUCUGACGUGCAAAUCGAUCGUCAAACAUGGGCAUGGGGGCGAAAGACUAAUCGAACCUUCUAGUAGCUGGUUUCCGCCGAAGUUUCCCUCAGGAUAGCAGUGUUGAACUCAGUUUUAUGAGGUAAAGCGAAUGAUUAGGGACUCGGGGGCGCUAUUUAGCCUUCAUCCAUUCUCAAACUUUAAAUAUGUAAGAAGCCCUUGUUGCUUAAUUGAACGUGGGCA
rnacentral:rRNA from 1 species